UGUGCUGGAAGGAUAAAACUUGUGGUGAGGCAGUUCCCCACAUCACCCAGCGUGUGGGCAAAGAAUGAGAGAGUGUCAACUUCAGAAGGUAGCUGAGAAAAGAGCCUACGAAUGUCCAAAGCACAGCAAUCUCUUAAGUAGCCCAGCAUGGGUCUUUAAAUCUGGAGGAAAAAGGCCUGUGUGUUUACACUGGUGAACAGACGUCUAAGGAUUUACGAAAUCUGAAAUUAAAGACAAAAACUCUGUGGCUGCGAAUUUGUGGAAAGAAAGCUGCUUCCUUAUUGGGACCGAGUUGGUGAUGUGGGUGCCUGGAGCAUCAUCCCGUGGAGCGUAAGUGAACAAUUCACUUUGGAUUACCGUGUUUCUUCAGAUCCACUUCUACUCUCCAGUUAUUUCUGUUGAUGAGCCAGAGGCUUGAAACUGUCCUUUCCCUGCUCAAUGGCUGAUCUGUACUUUUUGCCCAAAGCAAGCACCCCAAUGAAUGAGGAACCAAUGAAUUCCAGCAACAUAAAUGAUUACUUUGGGUUAACUGAUAUGGAAUAUUCAGUGGAUGGUGAGACCUCUCCAUGUUCCUUGGGGGAGGUCAGAAAAUUCUCCAGUUUAUUUGUGCCAAUUGCUUACGCCUUGAUAUGCAUCUUUGGCCUACUGGGAAAUAUUUUAGUGGUGAUCACCUUUGCUUUUUAUAAGAAAGCCAAGUCGAUGACAGAUGUUUAUCUCUUGAACAUGGCCAUUGCGGACAUACUGUUUGUCCUUACCCUCCCGUUCUGGGCAGUGAAUCACGCUAGCGGAGCGUGGUAUUUUAGUAAUGUCAUGUGCAAACUGACCAAAGGCAUCUAUGCCAUCAACUUUAACUGUGGAAUGCUGCUCUUGACCUGUAUCAGCCUGGACCGGUAUAUUGCUAUUGUACAGGCAACCAAGUCUUUCAGGCUCCGAUCCAAAACGUUAGCACACAAUAAGGUCAUCUGUUUUGCAGUGUGGGUGGUAUCCAUCAUCAUUUCCAGCUCCACGUUCAUCUUCAGUCAGAAGUACAGUAUGCAAGGUGUCGAUGUCUGUGAACCCAAGUACCACAAUGUCUUGGAGCCCAUCAAAUGGAAAUUGCUGAUGUUGGUGCUCCAGCUGAUCUUUGGUUUCUUCAUCCCGCUGAUGUUCAUGAUAUUCUGCUACACAUUUAUUGUCAAAACCUUAGUGCAAGCCCAGAACUCCAAAAGGCACAAGGCCAUCCGUGUGAUUAUAGCAGUUGUUCUGGUGUUUCUGGUUUGCCAGACCCCCCAUAACAUGGUACUUCUUGUGACCGCUGUAACUAUGGGCAGGACGGACAGAGCCUGCAGUAGUGAGAAGCUGAUUGGCUACACCAAAACUAUCACCGAGGUCUUGGCUUUUCUGCACUGCUGCCUCAACCCGGUGCUGUAUGCCUUCAUUGGCCAGAAGUUCAGAAACUACUUCCUGAAGAUCAUGAAGGACCUGUGGUGCGUGAGGAGAAAGCACCAGUCCACCGGCUUCUCCUGUUCCAGGAUGUACUCAGAAAGCGCCGUCUCCAAACAGACCAGCGAGACAGUGGACAAUGAGAACGCGUCGUCCUUCACCAUGUGAUGUGCUGUGCAGAACGAAGCAUUCCCUUCUGUGGGUUGUGAAGCCUGUUAUUAGAUGUUAUGCAAAAAAUAGUCCAUAGCCAAAUACAUAUGAGAAAUGUGGAAAUUCAACAAAACUAAGCAGAUGUUUCUACUGCAGGACCAGAGACGGAGUGUGGCGUGCUAAAGGGCAGGAGGGGUCUCUGCAUGGCGAGGCGUGGGAGGGCUCCACCAUGUAGGGUUUCCCAAAUUUACUUAAAAAAGAAUGCUUUGUUGCUCUGGUGGAUCUUACAGGGCUGGUGUUCCACAAAACAGGCUUUGGGAAAUGCUGAACUAAAAUGAAUUAUUUACAAAUUUGAAGUUUUAGAAUUACUCAUGAAGCGGCCAUUGUCCACAAUUACUUGUGGCCCUGGCACAAAACAACAAUAUGGUUUGACAAACCCGAACAGGAAAACAAACACAAAAUCCUUCACCUAACUCAAUUUUGAAAAAAAGUUGAAUGUUUUUGCUCAUGAAAAUGUUUACCAUGGCCAAAUAUAAAUGAUGAAACAGACUGGCUUGAGUCUCUCUCAUUUUCCUUUGAUACACUCAGCAAGCGUGAGAUCGUGAAAAGGCAGAAGGAAAACAAGCUCAAGGACUCACAGUGUACAAACGGUGGCUGCAUUCGUCACUGUGGAUACAGCAGUUCAGGCUGUGACGGCCUUCAGAAGAAGUAUAAACAUGUUUGUACUUCCCGGAGAAACUGUUCUCUGUAAGUGGUGACUCGCCCGUAAACGUCUGUUGGACAAAGAGUUCUAUCAAGGCAGGAACUACAGCGGUUUUGUCCACAGCUGUGUCCCAGGUGUCUAGCAGAGUUUUGGGCAUACAGAAGAAGCUUAAGGAAUAUUUAGCGAAUCAUAACAAAAUUGGAGUUUUUAGUGCAGUGUGAAGUGUUAGGUGUUUUUAUUUUAUUUUGUAUAAAUAGAAUAGUUUCUAAAAGAAGAAGAAUGAAGCUUUCUUGGGACCCUAUAGAAAGAACUCAGGCUUCAUUCUCAUUAUAGAGCUGGGGAACCAUGAGGAGCUGAGGAUUUUUGGUCGUUAAGGGGUUUCCAGCUUGUGUAUAGCUAGAAAAAUUUCAACUUCUGAUAUUGAUUUUAAAGUGGCAUCACCCAAUGUUUGAGGUCAGCUAUGAAAUCACAUUUUAACAACUCUCUUCAGCUCCACAGAACUCAAGUAUUUUUAAAGUGCUGUGUAAAUACACGAACCCAGGUGGGAAAAUAUCCACGUGUGUUACAAAAACACAAACACGUAUCACAAAAGUACUGACAUGUUUCAUUCUGACGAAUGUGCUAUCUGAGGCUCGAUGUUGUUUUUGUAAUCUUACCUCCGUCCCCAUGUAAAACUCCAAAUUUUGCCCUGAGAUUCAAAGUCUGUGUUUUUCAGAAAUAAAGCUACUCUAUGUGUGGAGAAGGAGUCAGCUUGAAUUCAGCGCUCAGACCGAGGGGAUCACUGCCCUGAGUGGGGCGUUGGGGGGGCCUCCCUUCGUCCUCACAGGCCUGUCAGCAUUCGGCUGUGGGGUCAGCGAGGGGACUCCCAGACCCUCCCAGUGUGUCCGAGUGCACUGACGGGAUCUGUCAAAAACGUUUUCUGUUUGAAGAUCGGCCCAGAAACAUCUCGCUUACUUGGCACGGGAGGGGACUGAGUUACAGGGAAUGAAACCUGCGAGAGCCGGAACUCUAUGGGCCGUGCUUUUCCGGCUCUCGCAGGUUUCCCGCCUUUGGCAGGGUGCACGCUGACCAUAUUUCUAUUGCUCCUUUUAGUGGGAAAUAUUUGCGUUUUCCUUCUCUGACAAGUUUCCGCCUUACACAGCUUCCGCCUUUCGCGUGUUUUACUGUAUUAUGUGUGAUUUAAAUUUUCAGAUCCAUGAAGCAUGUUCUUUAAGCGCUAGCCCUUUAAAGAUGUCGACCUUAGUGAAUAAAGAUGUUUCUAAAAUGUACGGCAUUCUUUCUUCUUAGAUACAGGACGCUGGGCGGCCCCGUCUUGUCGUGCUCCUCGGGGACUCGGAACAGGUGCAAUGCUACCUGCUUGGUGCUGGCCCCUCCAGAGACACUGGGCAGGGUGGGCGCAUGUGGCUUGCCGGUGGGAGCUGGGACCCCCGUUUUGCCCGUGCAUUUGUGUAAACAGGCCAUCCGUGAGCUGGGAAUCAGGGGGCCUCUGCUGCCCCAUUUUCCAAGCACCUAGGACACCCCAUCUGCUUCCUGAACGCUGCAGGAAGGGUGGGGCUUUACGUUUCCUUGUACGUGCUUUGAACGUCACCGUCCCCACAAAGGGUAAUUCCUCUGAUGGGCUCUGAAGCCUGCUGGUUGCUGUAUGGCGGGCACUGCCGCUAGCUUCAGGGACUGGAGGGACACGGAGGAGGCCUCAUGUGGGUAAAGAUCACCCUCGGGUAAAGGAGGGGAGAGCUCACUCUCCACACUCUGGGAUUCAACCUGCACACCUGUAACGUCUGUUGCAAGCUGCCAGAUGGCAUUCACACUUUCCUCCUUGAGUUGCACUUACUAAUAGAUGUAUGUAUAUAUAUUGACGUCCUAUUUAGGUAAAUCCAUAAGAGAGAUAAAGACAAAAAUCUGUCUUUUCUAACUUUUGGUUUAUUUCUCUCACACAUUAGAGUCCAGGUAGACAGUCCAGGACAAUAAACAGAAUGCUGUUCUCCUUAACUCCUGGCCCAAAGGGGCUGCUCUGGCUCUCUCCAUCACACAUGCAUCCAGCCAACAGAAAGAGAAAAACAGGGGAAGCAGACGACCUUUUCCUUCUCUCUAAGGGCACAGCUUGAAAGCUGUGGACACCAUUCCUGCUCUCAUCCCAUUGGUCUGAAAUUAGUCAUAUUGUCACAGUAGGUGCAAGACAAAAUGGGAGAUGUUGGCUUCAGCUGGGUGGCCAUGUGACCACAUUAAAAUCUUUUACUAUGGAGGAAGGGAAAAUGGCUGUCAGGAAAACAAACCUCAGUGGAAGGAAGAGCAACCAUACUACUCGCUUGAAAGAAGAGGGAAGCCACAAAUUCAACCACUAAAACCAGUGGAUAUCAAGUCGAUUCCGACUCGUGGUGACCCUGAGUGUCAAACUACAGCUGUGCUCCACAGGGUUUUUAACAGCUAAUUUUUCGGAAUGAGAUUGCCUGAACUUCCUUCUGAGGUACCUCUGGGUCUACUUGAACCUCCAACCUAUCAGUUAGCAGCUGAGCGCAUUAACUGCUUGAGCCACCCAGGGACUCCAUAAAUUGUAAAUAGGUACUUAAAGCUGCAGGAAAGGAAAAAAGAGCCCAACUAGCUAACGGUUUCAGGAAAGUGACCUAAGAAGAGCCGGGCGCUGAUAGGGACGAGAGCCUAGCUGAUGCAGGCGAGGAGAAAGGGCUCCGCACGGAGGUGCUGCCCGCGACCCCCCGGGUGGCUCCUACGAGCAGAGGCCUUUCAUGCCAUAUUUCACCAGCGACCACCCCAGAACCUGAAACUGCACAUCUAAACUUUCAGAGCAAGAAUACUAGUAAAAAUAGCUUUGUUUUCUGCCUCAUUUUGAAAGAUUUACUGUAUUCUUUAAUUGUUAAUGACAUUUGAGGCCCCUUUUCUGACCCUACAGUGUAAAUAGAUGAAUGAGUACAUGUCUUCCCACUAGUAGCGAGCAAAUGCAUUUAUGAUCUGUUGCAAGGUGGUUGAGACUUCCUUACUUCACCCAAGGCCUGGGGGUGGGGGAUUACGGUGAUCUGUAGGCGCUUCCGGUUUACUUUAGCGAUGAGCACCGCUGCCCUCUAGUGGACCCAAGCUGCACUCACAGGUCACAGAAACAGCCUCUCCUGAGGCCAAAAUGCUAAAUGAGGAGAAAAAUUUUGAAGUUCGUUUUAAAACCCAAAUGUAUGAUAUUAAUAUAGGAUAUUAUACCCAGUCUUUUUUUAAAGGGGAUGAAGUCCUUAGAAAUAUUAACUUGAAUAGUCUGACUGCAAUAUUGCUGCUGUUCAAUUUUUUCUUAUUGUUGAAAUGGACUCGACAGCAACAGAUCUGGCUUAGUUUCGGUUUAAUAUUCAUAUCAAAGUAGAAAGGAUCCUGACUUAUUUUAUUAUUAUUAUUGUUACCAUUGUUUUGCUAUGUGACUACCUAGAUUUUGCUCAUUUGUUGUUAUUGUAAUUGUUUUUGGUCAUAGUCUAUAUGAAUGUGUGUAUGAACGCAUGCAUAUUAGUAUAUAUACAUAUACAUCUCUACAUAUACCCGUAUACAUAUCUUUAGGGUAUGUAUUUUAGCACAAUUUUUUAGGAUAUUAUAACUAACAUAGAAAAGAUUUUAAAAAGGAGAAGAAAUGUAAGUAAUCUCUGCUCACCAGAAUUUAAUUAUAAAAUUUUAAUAUUAAACAAAAACCUCAAUUUUCCAGCUUUCUAAGUUCUGGGCAUAUCAGAAUCUGCUUUGCCCUAAUUGCUAGGACAUCAGAGGAGCAGGAGUGGCAUUUGGGUUGGGGGGCAUCCCCCUGGAAACUCUGCUGCUCCGGCCCACACAGUGGGUCUGGGUGGGGCGGUGGUGGUUCUGCUCCGAGACGCCCAGUCAGCACUAUUUCAUGCUGGAACAGCAGCUUGGCCUCCUGGGUGUCGGGCCUUCUCACAGGGCUGUUGCUCUAUUGCAGAUCUUAUUCCACUGAUGUCCAUCCAGCACCCAAGCACACGACUGAGCACCCUACACAUCGCCCCCCAGUGACCCGGCGUCCUUGCCUCGUUCAGGUUUAUCAGCAGAAAGUGGCAGAUCCGUGAGAGAUUUGUGACUCAGUGCCAUCGAUAGCACCCACCAAAGUCCAAGACUCCCCGUCUUCCCGAGGGCCCAGCUGGACCACGUGCCCCAGCUUUCUGCGGGACAGUGAGGCGGCGUGGCGAGGCUCUGGCCACAAUAUGUGAGUAGAAAUGAAGGGCA